rnacentral:tRNA from 1 species
GGCCAUGGCUUAGCAGCAGAGCAUCCGCUGGGUAUGCAGAAGGUCCCAGGUUCAAACCUCGGCAUCUCCA